GUGCCAGCCGCCGCGGUAAUACGGAGGGUGCAAGCGUUACUCGGAAUCACUGGGCGUAAAGCGCGCGCAGGCGGCCUUUUAAGUUGGAUGUGAAAGCCUAUGGCUCAACCAUAGAACUGCAUCCAAAACUAUUAGGCUAGAGUGUGGGAGAGGAAGAUGGAAUUAGUUGUGUAGGGGUAAAAUCCGUAGAGAUAACUAGGAAUACCAAAAGCGAAGGCAAUCUUCUGGAACAUUACUGACGCUGAGGCGCGAAAGCGUGGGGAGCAAACAGGAUUAGAUACCCUGGUAGUCCACGCCCUAAACGAUGAAUGUUAGUUGUCGGGUAGCUAGUCUAUUCGGUGAUGCAGCUAACGCAUUAAACAUUCCGCCUGGGGAGUACGGUCGCAAGAUUAAAACUCAAAGGAAUAGACGGGGACCCGCACAAGUGGUGGAGCAUGUGGUUUAAUUCGAAGAUACGCGAAGAACCUUACCUAGCCUUGACAUAUAUUAGAACUCANCAGAGAUGCAGAGGUGCCUUCGGGAGCUUUUAUACAGGUGCUGCACGGCUGUCGUCAGCUC
rnacentral:rRNA from 1 species